rnacentral:rRNA from 1 species
GGUUUUAGGAAUUUAUUUAAAAUUUAUUCUGCUCAAUGAUAAUUUAAAUGGCUGCGGUAAAUUGACUGUGCAAAGGUAGCAUAAUAAUUAGUUUAUUGAUUGUGAACUAGGAUGAAUGGAAUGAUGAAACAUAAGCUGUCUUGAUUAUAGUGAUUUUGAAUUUUACAUUUAAGUAAAAAGGCUUAAUUAAAUUUAAGGGACGAGAAGACCCUAUAGAACUUGGAUUCUUAUUUUUUUUGAUUUUAAUAAAUUUGUUUAUGGUUAAUUUUAUGGGAGUUUUGUUGGGGUGAUAAUUAGAAUUUAUGAACUUUAAUUUUUGAUUUCAUUAUUUAUUUGGAAGUUACUAAUGAUUUUUGUUUAUGAUUAUAAGAUUAAGUUACCUUAGGGAUAACAGCGUUAUUUAUGUGGAGAGUCCUAAUCAAUACGUAAGUUUGCGACCUCGAUGUUGAAUUAAGAUAAAUUUUUGGGGAAGAGUUUGAAGCAAAAUUGGGUCUGUUCGACCUUUGAAAUCUUAC